ACCUCUGUGGCACCACAGUUAAUGCAUUCAGCUGCUGACUGAAAAGUUGGAGGUUCAAGUCCACCUAGAGGAC
rnacentral:tRNA from 1 species